rnacentral:rRNA from 1 species
UACGUAGGGGCAAGCGUUGUCCGGAUUUAUUGGGCGUAAAGAGCGUGUAGGCGGUUUGGUAGGUCCGCUGUGAAACUCGAGGCUCAACCUCGAGACGCCGGUGGAAACCAUCAGACUAGAGUCCGGAAGAGGAGAGUGGAAUUCCUGGUGUAGCGGUGAAAUGCGCAGAUAUCAGGAAGAACACCCGUGGCUAAGGCGGCUCUCUAGUACGGUACUGACGCUGAGACGCGAAAGCGUGGGGAGCGAACAGG